GAUGAACGCUAGCGGCAGGCUUAACACAUGCAAGUCGAGGGGUAGCAGGAUUUAGUUUACUAGAUUGCUGACGACCGGCGCACGGGUGAGUAACGCGUAUACAAUUUGCCUUUUACUGGAGGAUAGCCCAGAGAAAUUUGGAUUAAUACUCCAUAGUAUUAUUUAGUCACCUGGCUGAGUAAUUAAAGUUCCGGCGGUAAAAGAUGAGUAUGCGUCCUAUUAGCUAGAUGGUAAGGUAACGGCUUACCAUGGCGACGAUAGGUAGGGGUCCUGAGAGGGAGAUCCCCCACACUGGUACUGAGACACGGACCAGACUCCUACGGGAGGCAGCAGUGAGGAAUAUUGGGCAAUGGAGGCAACUCUGACCCAGCCAUGCCGCGUGCAGGAAGACUGCCCUAUGGGUUGUAAACUGCUUUUAUACAGGAAGAAACUUACCCACGUGUGGGUAACUGACGGUACUGUAAGAAUAAGGACCGGCUAACUCCGUGCCAGCAG
rnacentral:rRNA from 1 species